AUCUAAGCACGAAACUUGCCCCGAGAUGAGUUCUCCCUGAGACUUUAGGUCUCCUGAAGGAACGUUGAAGACGACGACGUUGAUAGGCCGGGUGUGUAAGCGCAGCGAUGCGUUGAGCUAACCGGUACUAAUGAACCGUGAGGCUUAACCUUACAACGCCGAAG
rnacentral:rRNA from 1 species